rnacentral:rRNA from 1 species
UUAAGUUAUUAAGGGCGCACGGUGGAUGCCUUGGCACUAGAAGCCGAUGAAGGACGUUACUAACGACGAUAUGCUUUGGGUAGCUGUAAGUAAGCGUUGAUCCAGAGAUUUCCGAAUGGGGGAACCCAGCAUGAGUUAUGUCAUGUUAUCGACAUGUGAAUUUAUAGCAUGUCAGAAGGCAGACCCGGAGAACUGAAACAUCUUAGUACCCGGAGGAAGAGAAAGAAAAAUCGAUUCCCUGAGUAGCGGCGAGCGAAACGGGAAGAGCCCAAACCAACAAGCUUGCUUGUUGGGGUUGUAGGACACUCUAUACGGAGUUACAAAAGAACAUGUUAGACGAAUCAUCUGGAAAGAUGAAUCAAAGAAGGUAAUAAUCCUGUAGUCGAAAACAUAUUCUCUCUUGAGUGGAUCCUGAGUACGACGGAGCACGUGAAAUUCCGUCGGAAUCUGGGAGGACCAUCUCCUAAGGCUAAAUACUCUCUAGUGACCGAUAGUGAACCAGUACCGUGAGGGAAAGGUGAAAAGUACCCCGGAAGGGGAGUGAAAGAGAACUUGAAACCGUGUGCUUACAAGUAGUCAGAGCCCGUUAAUGGGUGAUGGCGUGCCUUUUGUAGAAUGAACCGGCGAGUUACGAUCUGAUGCAAGGUUAAGCAGCAAAUGUGGAGCCGCAGCGAAAGCGAGUCUGAAUAGGGCGUUGAGUAUUUGGUCGUAGACCCGAAACCAGGUGAUCUACCCUUGGUCAGGUUGAAGUUCAGGUAACACUGAAUGGAGGACCGAACCGACUUACGUUGAAAAGUGAGCGGAUGAACUGAGGGUAGCGGAGAAAUUCCAAUCGAACUUGGAGAUAGCUGGUUCUCUCCGAAAUAGCUUUAGGGCUAGCCUCAAGUGAUGAUUAUUGGAGGUAGAGCACUGUUUGGACGAGGGGCCCCUCUCGGGUUACCGAAUUCAGACAAACUCCGAAUGCCAAUUAAUUUAACUUGGGAGUCAGAACAUGGGUGAUAAGGUCCGUGUUCGAAAGGGAAACAGCCCAGACCACCAGCUAAGGUCCCAAAAUAUAUGUUAAGUGGAAAAGGAUGUGGCGUUGCCCAGACAACUAGGAUGUUGGCUUAGAAGCAGCCAUCAUUUAAAGAGUGCGUAAUAGCUCACUAGUCGAGUGACACUGCGCCGAAAAUGUACCGGGGCUAAACAUAUUACCGAAGCUGUGGAUUGUCCUUUGGACAAUGGUAGGAGAGCGUUCUAAGGGCGUCGAAGCAUGAUCGCAAGGACAUGUGGAGCGCUUAGAAGUGAGAAUGCCGGUGUGAGUAGCGAAAGACGGGUGAGAAUCCCGUCCACCGAUUGACUAAGGUUUCCAGAGGAAGGCUCGUCCGCUCUGGGUUAGUCGGGUCCUAAGCUGAGGCCGACAGGCGUAGGCGAUGGAUAACAGGUUGAUAUUCCUGUACCACCUAGUAUCGUUUUAAUCGAUGGGGGGACGCAGUAGGAUAGGCGAAGCGUGCUGUUGGAGUGCACGUCCAAGCAGUAAGGCUGAGUGUUAGGCAAAUCCGGCACUCAUAAGGCUGAGCUGUGAUGGGGAGAGGAAAUUGUUUCCUCGAGUCGUUGAUUUCACACUGCCGAGAAAAGCCUCUAGAUAGAUAACAGGUGCCCGUACCGCAAACCGACACAGGUAGUCAAGAUGAGAAUUCUAAGGUGAGCGAGCGAACUCUCGUUAAGGAACUCGGCAAAAUGACCCCGUAACUUCGGGAGAAGGGGUGCUCUUUAGGGUUCACGCCCAGAAGAGCCGCAGUGAAUAGGCCCAAGCGACUGUUUAUCAAAAACACAGGUCUCUGCUAAACCGUAAGGUGAUGUAUAGGGGCUGACGCCUGCCCGGUGCUGGAAGGUUAAGAGGAGUGGUUAGCUUCUGCGAAGCUACGAAUCGAAGCCCCAGUAAACGGCGGCCGUAACUAUAACGGUCCUAAGGUAGCGAAAUUCCUUGUCGGGUAAGUUCCGACCCGCACGAAAGGCGUAACGAUU